UUAAAGUGCAUGUCAAGUGUGCCUCAGAGUCUUACCCCACCCACGUAUCAAUUUUGAAAACUGCAACAUUAGUAGGCGUUGCCUGGAGGACCGAGAGGGCGGAGCCGUGGCAGUGACGAAGAGACGGCUAACUAGACGAAGCUAGCUCCCUUCACUCUGAGCAGUCAUUAGAAGUGGAGGACGUUUCUCCCCCUCCUUACCCAGACACUCGAGAAGAAAGGGACCAAGUCUAUUUGGAGGAGACAACCGGACAUGAGCCUUAUUGUUUUGAGCUUGUGAGUUGCCUGAAAUUACUGGAACCGACCCAACAGACCCAUCUCUGAACGUGAUCCUCUGGUGUCUGCAGCUGGUCUCCUGCUGAUGUCGUCGGGAUCAGGAACUUCCAGAAGAAUGUGCCUUUCAAUGACUCUUUCCCCCUUAUUUGUUAUAUUAAUUAAAUAAAUCUCAAUUUAUA